AGCCGCAAACGACGAUAGCAUUGCCAGAACUGGCUAGACUAUGAACUCAGCUUGUUUUGCUGGCGAUCGCUGUUUUCUGUGGCUCCGAAUUCGCAAAGUUAUAAAACGCGAAUUCUUGCCACUUUUUACUUCCGAUAUUAUAAAAUUUUGUGCAACAAAUGUGGUGAGGCUCUGCAUAAGCAGGAGAGUCCAUUUUUUAACGAAAGAAGUUCCCUUGGUAGUUGGCGUGAAACGUAAUUUAUGACAUCGGCGCCAUUUCUGGUACAGACACGAAUGUGGCUCUACUAACAGGAGCCUGGCCGUUCUUGCAAAAUAACCCACGGAAAGUCUUUCUGGGGGUAGGGAACCGCCCCCACAUCACCCUCGCGCUCGUAUGGGGCGCCCUUUGAUAAGAAUGCAGUAGGAAGCGCGUGACAGAAUUGAUAGAACUGAAGCACGUGACGGCCUUCUUUUAAACUUCAAUUUAUGUUAGGAAAGCCUGGCGACUUUAUUGUUACGCUUCUGGGCACUCAAGAGAAUUGUGAAGAAAAGCACGGCUCAUCAGUAAAAUCCUUGCAUAGGUACUCUCACCGUCAUUCUCCGGUGCUGGGCAAGGGGUGAUUGCUGUGGCUACGCACUUCGGCUACAACUGCAUCUACGGCAAGUAGGCGUUUUCUUGGAGCGCAGGAGUUUGUUGAACACCCUGUUACUGCGGCCGGAUCUACAGGCUGACUACCAAAUUUACGGAAGGCUGCCCGGCAGUGGUUACUCUGCCAGUUAUGACGGACAUUGACGUGGACGUGCUAUGUCUGAACUUAUCUCAGUUACCAGUAGAGGAACUACGAAUGCUAGAAUUCACCAAAAUCCUUCCGGACUUGCGGCUCGCUGGUGUCGCGCAACGUGAUGCCGUUGCAGCGAUCCGUGGAAGUUUGCAGGACAUCAACACGCUGGGAAAACGGCUUAACGACGUGGCAUGGAUUUACUGCUGGCUCAUUCCGCGCGACAGGCUGCAUUCUUGGGUGCUCUAUCGCUUCAGCGGGCCCACAGCGGAUGCCAGGGAUUUCACGCUGCACAAGAAGAUAGCGAACGCGUUCUGUUGGCCCGGCAUGAGCAACGCAUUUCAAUCUUUGUCUUACCAUGCUGGGCGCUACGUCUGCUUAAUGACCAGAGAGCCCGAAAGCGGGGUGGAAGAACACUGUGUCAUAUGCUUGUGUGCCUGGGUCGACAUACCUUACGUGGCCGUACGUGUCGCUGGAGUUCAAGAUAUUCCAAAACUGCGGUCUGUACUUAAAGUCCUAUUGCAAGGCGAGCUCUACCAACUUAUCACUGGCUGUCACCAAGAGCUCAGCACCGCUUGGGCUUGCGCUGUCCGUGACUUCAACUUGCGCCGUGCAACGUCACAAGCGAACUACAUGAUCCCGACGACACCUGGGCGACGUCUCUAGUGUAGUGGUGACUAUAUUAGACUACACUCUGGCAAAAUCAAGCCACGAGAACAAAGAAAAAUACGGGCGGAGAAGCCUGUUUUGCUGCACAUGAAUUGUGACAAUAUUUUGUACAAAAUAUUCAAACUGCGCCUCUACAUUGAACGUGAUGCUAACCGAAUAUCGUACGUCUGCCAACACUCCAGAAGGAGCCGGUUCCAGAAACUCCUUAGCGUCAGCAACAACUUCCUCUGAUCGACUGUCAGGAAAGAAUGCCUACAAAUAACCUUUUUAUUUUUUGACGAGUGCUUCCCUUACGUGCUCAGACUAUCUGUAGACACCUUGUCACACGAUAUGCAGCUGAAUAAAGAUGACCUGUGCGUCCAUCA